CUCCAAAGUAGAAAAAGCCCUAAAAUUCAUAUACCAGCGUCGGCGAACUUAUCAAAACUUCUCGUAGUCUCAACCUACAAAUUCUCAAUGGCGAAUCAAUAGUAUUACCAAAUUACAAGUUCCCAAUCUUCUGGAGAGGGAAAUUACUCACUAUUCGAGCUUCUUUUAACAAAGUACUAACAAAUCAUGGAAAUUUGAGGCAUCCCUUACUCACUAGAUCUGAAAUCCUCUAGAGGUAUAUCUUAUGUGCUUUUGUGGCAAAGCAUUAUAUCUCUCAUUCUAUCAUUGGUCUAUGAUCGCAUUGCGUCUAAAUUUCUAAAUGUAUGUCGAUAAACAUGUGCUGUAGGUUGUGGUAGACCAUCUCUCUUCAUGUGCAAUUUUGUAACUAUUUAUUUAACACAAAGAAUUGGAGCUUUCUGAAUAUAUUACUGCAAAGUUGCAUAAUUUCCCACAUUGUUAGUUUAAAUUGUAUCUUUAGCUUGUGAUCAUAAUACAUUUCUACACGAGACAGGGAAUUGGCUGUCCCUUAAACUCUUGCUGUUGGUAGGAUUUCUUUGCCGAUGAAGGAUACAUCUCGAGAUUGGCCUGUUGCAAUUGCAAGUACUGUUUGUAUAUAUGCUGUGGCAAUUCAUAUCAUACUAGAAAUUUAAUGUUUUUAUUUUGGAAUUAACCCCAUUUGUUUUGGCUUUUUGUCAUGGUUGUAAAAGAUAAUUCGUUUGAAAUCAUCAUAGACACCUAGUGGUAAAUAGAAAUGCAUGACCGUGAUAAAGGAUUAAGAGGGGUAUAUAAUGAGUUCAAUUCAUGGUGACCACUUAUCUAAGAUUUAAUAUUCUAAGUUUUUUUUUUUACACCCACAUGUUGUAGGAUCAGACAGGUUGUCUGGUGAGAUUAGUCAAGGUACGUGUAAAUUGGUAUGUAUACCCUAAAUAGCAAAGAAAAAUAAGAUAUUUUGUUUGAAAUGAGGAAAUUUUGAAUAUUAGUUGGUGAGAGGGAACAUUUUUUAAUGAAGCAGCAAAAACAAUAUAGAUUUAAAAAAGUAAAUAUAAUGUUGACUACAGAAUUCAAAUACUUUUGAGGUUUCUUAAUUCAACUUAGAUCGUAAAACUACUACAUCGUUUGUAGCAACUUGUAUAAACUCUGUAGUAGCUUGUAUAAUCUCUUAGGAGGCGUGCAGUUCGAUACUAUUGACAUCUUUCUUUUUAGAUUCACUUAUCUACUCUCUUUUGUUCACUCGUCUAUGGUUUCUUUUUAGUCAACUAAAAAAAUUAUAGAGGCGAGAGGAUAACCUAAAAAGAAAAGAAAAAAAAAACUAAUGUUAGUUUCUGACUUUCCAAAAGACGAAAUCAAUAUGGACGAAAAAAAUACUUAUUUUUGAACUUUGUUUCUAUACUAUCUCAUUUUGCAAAUGUUUUUUGAAACUAUCUAUUUUAAUACUUAAAUCCAUCCAUUUUGAACCGAAAUGAUACACAGAAAAUUUAGGACUAAAGAAGCUAUGGCAUAAAAUUUAGUGACCACAAUAGCAACUUUUCAUAUUUCUUUUGUAUAUUGAUUGUGAUGUUAGAUUUGAUUUUAUGCUUUUGUUUGUUACUUUUAAGUAUAAAUUAUAUAAUUAAGAUAGAGUAGGUAAAGUUAUUCAUAUAAUAAGUUAAAUUAAGUACUAAAUAUAAGUUGUAAAUUAAUAUAUAUAAUAAAUAAUCAUGUAACCAUGUAUUAAUGUAUUAAUAUACGAAUAAAAAAAUUAUGGAAUCUGCAUGUGUGUGUAUGUGCAUGUGUGCAUGCAUUGAAUGUCUAUUUGUAUGUCCAUGCAUGAAUGUGCAUGUGUGUUGUGCGUGUGGAAAAAAGAUAAAGGAAAG